UAUAAUAUAUUUAGCUGUGACAGAUUACAGAAAGGGGAGUGGCCAUAUGUGACAGAUUACAGAAAGGGGAGUGGCCAUAUGUGACAGAUUACAGGAAGGGGGAGGAGUGGCCAUAUGUGACAGAUUACAGAAAGGGGAGUGGCCAUAUGUGACAGAUUACAGAAGGGGGAGGAGUGGCCAUAUGUGACAGAUUACAGGAAGGGGGAGGAGUGGCCAUAUGUGACAGAUUACAGGAAGGGGGAGGAGUGGCCAUAUGUGACAGAUUACAGGAAGGGGGAGGAGUGGCCAUAUGUGACAGAUUACAGAAAGGGGAGUGGCCAUAUGUGACAGAUUACAGAAGGGGGAGGAGUGGCCAUAUGUGACAGAUUACAGGAAGGGGGAGGAGUGGCCAUAUGUGACAGAUUACAGGAAGGGGGAGGAGUGGCCAUAUGUGACAGAUUACAGGAAGGGGAGUGGCCAUAUGUGACAGAUUACAGGAAGGGGGAGGAGUGGCCAUAUGUGACAGAUUACAGGAAGGGGGAGGAGUGGCCAUAUGUGACAGAUUACAGAAAGGGGGGGGGAGUGGCCAUAUGUGACAGAUUACAGAAGGGGGAGGAGUGGCCAUAUGUGACAGAUUACAGGAAGGGGGAGGAGGGGAGGUAUGUGACAGAUUACAGGAAGGGGGAGGUAUGUGACAGAUUACAGGAAGGGGGAGGUAUGUGACAGAUUACAGGAAGGGGGAGGUAUGUGACCACCUGGAUUCAGUCCUUUUGUAGCAACAUGUGAAAAAGUGUUUUUUACAUUUGGAGAAAAGUAGAAGAGAAAAUCAGACACUGCAGUUGAGGAACAAUAGGAAAGUAAUUCUGCUUUGAUAAACCGAACGGAUUUCUGUCUGCUUGAACACCAACAACACAUGAAAACAUGAAUUGACCCAGGGAAUCGAUAUAAAAUCAUUUAGAGAUAACAAUAUGUACAAUAUGUAAUGGAUGUGAAAUGGCUAGCUAGUUAGCGGUUUGUGGAGCGAUGGGUAACGAUGCUUCGUGGGUGACUGUUGUCGAUGUGUGCAGAGAGUCCCUGGUUCGAGCCCGGGUAAGGGGCG
rnacentral:lncRNA from 1 species